CCAACUUUCGCUGUCAUUUUAUUUUUGCUGGCCGCCGCUAGGGGCGCUCACCUUCAAGAUGGAUGCGCCCAUGGAAACCGCGCUUCAGUGUGAUCAGCCGUACAAUCUACGCAAAAAAAAUGUCAAUUACACAGAACUGUUCGACUUAAAGAUCCAAACUGAACGCAGAAAGGCUGUACGAGUACCCAACGUUGUUCUAGACGAGCAAUAUUUCAUAGAAAGAAUAAUAACGAAGAAGAAAGAGGGGAAGUCCCUGCAGUACCUAGUACAGUGGAGAGGGUUCGGACUCUAUGAUGUCACAUGGGAACCAGCUUAUCAUAUUCCCAAGGCGUGGAUCGAUCAAUUCAACAAUCCAGAUAUCGACUUAAUCGACACAAAACGCCUCGUCUUUGCUUCGAAAGAUUUUUAUGAAACUCUUCAACGUGGUCUUGUAGAGGGCAGUGUUGAAGUGAAAAUCCCGUUCCCACUUGACAUUUUCCGUUACGUUUUUUAUGGCAAAGGACAACCAAAUGAUAUCAAUGAUCAGGAUCCAGCUUUUUUAAAGUAUGACAGGGAUGAUUUUGCUGAACUAAACUUACCUGAAAACUGGUGGUACAGACUUGACAAGAAAGGACAAGGAGUGAAGGUUACAUUCCCAGUGAAGGCCAAAACUGUGAUUUCAUUUUCCCAUGGUUCAUACUGUGUUCAAGAUGGUGUGUUAGUCAAAGGAUGCAGAUUUCCAAAGGAGUUCCUUGUGUUGAAAGUGUUGUCGGUUGCCACUGACGUUGCCACUUUGUUCGUUUGAUGUCGCAUCCUUUAUGAUUUAUUUGCCAUUGUGAUUUGGGCCUACUGUACAUGCAUGUAAGGUGUAACUUUGAUCAUCUUUACUCAGGAAAACAUUUUUCACAAGGUUGUAGUUUCACUCCAGCACUGUCUUCAGAAUGUCUGAUUGUCUCAGUAAAGUACAGCUGAAGAGGAAGUUAUCAACUUAGGCCAAAUAAAAGAAUAAUUUCCAAAACUGAAGGGAUCCAGUAUUUUUUAGGUAGGUUGACCCCCCCCCCCCCCCCUUUUUGAGAAUAUGGAGUCAUUCCUGAAAAAGAGCGCAAAAAUUUGAUGAAUAAGCUUUCAUAAUAUGGUGUACGUACUGAGUUUGUGGACAACUUUCAAGACUUAAAAGUAGUUUUGUUGGGGGUCAACCUACCAUAAUGUAAAAAGUAUUGCAAAAAUUUUGGGGCAUCAGAGGUGAGCGGAGACUAUCAUCAACAUAUUUGUUAUUUGAUGAAAGCAGUUAACAGACAUUUGACAAAGCUGGAUUGGAAAAUAACAAAUUAAUGUGUGUGAGAAAAGCACUGCAGAAUCAAAGAAGUUUUGUUAAAGGCAUUUUUCUGUUUGAAGUUUUUAUUGUUGAAGUUUUCAAAUAUUUUUUAUUGUAAUUGUUUUGAAAUAUUUUUGUAUGUACUUUUUAACAUAAUCAAAAGUGAAGCAAAAUGCUCAAUAAAGUUUUAUUUGUAUUGUUGAUUAAA